rnacentral:rRNA from 1 species
UACGAAGGGGACUAGCGUUGUUCGGAAUUACUGGGCGUAAAGCGCGCGUAGGCGGAUCGCUAAGUCAGGGGUGAAAUCCCAGGGCUCAACCCUGGAACUGCCUUUGAUACUGACGAUCUGGAGAUCGGGAGAGGUUGGUGGAAUUCCGAGUGUAGAAGUGAAAUUCGUAGAUAUUCGGAGGAACACCAGAAGCGAAGGCGGCCAACUGGCCCGAUACUGACGCUGAGGCGCGAAAGCGUGGGGAGCAAACAGG